AUUAGGGCUGCACAAUUAUCAUAAUCGUAAUUGCAGUUGCAAUAUGAACCAACGUAAAUUACCCAAUCGCAAAAGCUACAAAUAAUCGUGCAGAAAAAUUAGAUAUUAGAUUAGCAAUUAGAUAUUUUCCUGAAAUCGUGCAGCCCUAGUUUGUAUACGUUAUCUUCCGGUCCUCUCAUUGGUCUUAUUUUCUUGGAGGCAUUUUUCUGUUGACAUUCCUUCUGUGCCGGGACCACACAGUGACAGUACAUGGAGCUGGUCACUUAGUGCCUGUUUGGAGAGAGGGUGUGUGCUUGUGCAGAGUGAAUGCGUAGUGUCUGUCUGGAGAUAGUGUGUGUGU